rnacentral:rRNA from 1 species
CUGUCAGCAGAGAAGGCGUCCCGAAAGGGUCGCUGGAGCGUCAGGAAGUGAAUAUGCCGGGUUGAGUAACGAUAAAGCAGGUGAAAAUCCUGCUCGCCGAAAAUCUAAGGUUUCCUGGGGAAGGUAAAUCCGCCCAGGGUCAGCCGGGACCUAAGGUGAGGCCGAAAGGCGUAGCCGAUGGACGGCAGGUUAAUAUUCCUGCGCUACUGUGGAGAUCAAUCAUGAGUGCGGAUCGGUCAGCCCUGCGUAAGCACCAGCUUGCUGAGGCCCUUGAGGCCGCUGCAGGGGGCUCUGGUCCCGAGAAAAGCUCAUGUGGCAAAGCAGUACCCGUACCAAAACCGACACAGGUAGAUGAGGUGAAUAACCUAAGGCGCUCGAGAUAACGGAAGUGAAGGAAUUAGGCAAAUUGACCCCGUAAGUUCGCGAUAAGGGG